UAUCUACUGCACCACUUAGCUGCCUUCAUUUUCAGCUGAGGAAACUGACAUAUUGGAGCAAUCAAGAGGCUUGACCAAAACCACACAGGCAAACUAUGGUAAGGUAUCGAGAGGACCAGCCCUGGAGUCACAAAGACUUGGGUUCUAUUCCUGCCUCUCACACAUACUGUAUGACCUUGGGAAAAUCACUCACCUUCUCAAUGUCCCAAGCAACUUUCGAAGAGUUUAAAUUACAGAUGAGUUACCGGUCUAGAAUAGUAGAAGGAUACAAAUCCUGAAGCCUAUUGACAAAGGCCUCUCUCCUCACAGAUCCAAUGGUGUGCACCUGUUAGCAUCUAUCAUCAUCAUCAUCAUCAUCUUGUCCUUUUCAUCUUUUUCAAGGGGAUUCAGAAUGAAGUGGGCCUGGAACAAGUCACUGUCUUGCUAUUGUUCUUCUAUGUUUAAUAUUCUAUGUACAUUUGCAUAAGUAAUAAAAUAACUGCUUUUUGUGGGUGAAUAAAAGUAUAAAGAUCUAAGCUGA